AGAGUUUGAUCAUGGCUCAGAUUGAACGCUGGCGGCAGGCCUAACACAUGCAAGUCGAACGGUAACAGGAAACAGCUUGCUGUUUCGCUGACGAGUGGCGGACGGGUGAGUAAUGUCUGGGAAACUGCCUGAUGGAGGGGGAUAACUACUGGAAACGGUAGCUAAUACCGCAUAACGUCGCAAGACCAAAGAGGGGGACCUUCGGGCCUCUUGCCAUCAGAUGUGCCCAGAUGGGAUUAGCUAGUAGGUGGGGUAACGGCUCACCUAGGCGACGAUCCCUAGCUGGUCUGAGAGGAUGACCAGCCACACUGGAACUGAGACACGGUCCAGACUCCUACGGGAGGCAGCAGUGGGGAAUAUUGCACAAUGGGCGCAAGCCUGAUGCAGCCAUGCCGCGUGUAUGAAGAAGGCCUUCGGGUUGUAAAGUACUUUCAGCGGGGAGGAAGGGAGUAAAGUUAAUACCUUUGCUCAUUGACGUUACCCGCAGAAGAAGCACCGGCUAACUCCGUGCCAGCAGCCGCGGUAAUACGGAGGGUGCAAGCGUUAAUCGGAAUUACUGGGCGUAAAGCGCACGCAGGCGGUUUGUUAAGUCAGAUGUGAAAUCCCCGGGCUCAACCUGGGAACUGCAUCUGAUACUGGCAAGCUUGAGUCUCGUAGAGGGGGGUAGAAUUCCAGGUGUAGCGGUGAAAUGCGUAGAGAUCUGGAGGAAUACCGGUGGCGAAGGCGGCCCCCUGGACGAAGACUGACGCUCAGGUGCGAAAGCGUGGGGCGCAAACAGGAUUAGAUACCCUGGUAGUCCACGCCGUAAACGAUGUCGACUUGAAGGUUGUGCCCUUGAGGCGUGGCUUCCGGAGCUGACGCGUUAAGUCGACCGCCUGGGGAGUACGGCCGCAAGGUUAAAACUCAAAUGAAUUGACGGGGGCCCGCACAAGCGGUGGAGCAUGUGGUUUAAUUCGAUGCAACGCGAAGAACCUUACCUGGUCUUGACAUCCACGGAAGUUUUCAGAGAUGAGAAUGUGCCUUCGGGAACCGUGAGACAGGUGCUGCAUGGCUGUCGUCAGCUCGUGUUGUGAAAUGUUGGGUUAAGUCCCGCAACGAGCGCAACCCUUAUCCUUUGUUGCCAGCGGUCCGGCCGGGAACUCAAAGGAGACUGCCAGUGAUAAACUGGAGGAAGGUGGGGAUGACGUCAAGUCAUCAUGCCCCUUACGACCAGGGCUACACACGUGCUACAAUGGCGCAUACAAAGAGAAGCGACCUCGCGAGAGCAAGCGGACCUCAUAAAGUGCGUCGUAGUCCGGAUUGGAGUCUGCAACUCGACUCCAUGAAGUCGGAAUCGCUAGUAAUCGUGGAUCAGAAUGCCACGGUGAAUACGUUCCCGGGCCUUGUACACACCGCCCGUCACACCAUGGGAGUGGGUUGCAAAAGAAGUAGGUAGCUUAACCUUCGGGAGGGCGCUUACCACUUUGUGAUUCAUGACUGGGGUGAAGUCGUAACAAGGUAACCGUAGGGGAACCUGCGGUUG
rnacentral:rRNA from 1 species